CCUUACUAUAUCUCCUUGUGAGGUUCUUAACCCAGCCACCCUCCUCCCUACCCCCGAGUGCUGUCUCCCCUUUCACUCUUGUCUAGAAACUUGGACCACUGGACAAAACCCCAAGAGGGAUUGUCAGAAGAUCCUCUGACCAAUCCUGAGGAAAUCUGGUACACUGAUGGGAGCAGCUUUGUCUUGGAUGGAAAAAGAAGAGCCGGGUAUGCAGUAGUCUCCAAUUUUGAGACCAUAGAGGCUAAGCCUCUGCCACCAGGUCAACCAGCUACAACAUGCAGUGCCAGUUCAACAAAGAUAUAAAACUACAGCUGACCACGGAAAAUAUCACACACCCUUGGACACCGCUAUAAGGACUCUGAGGAUUGAGACUAGCAAGAGGGGGAGGCCCAAUACACCUUGCCACCCCAGUUCAGCAGGAAGUAGCCAGAAAGACCACGAUGCCCCUAUUCCCAAAGAAUUGGGCCUCCCAUCUCUUGAGGGGGGAAUGUUAGGUAGGUAGAAUAGGGAAAAGGAGUCCAAAAUGGUGGUGGCUAAAAGACAAGGAAGGUCCGAGGACCAGAGUGAAGACUUCAGGCAGAACAAACAGAACAAACAGCACUCCUGGCUAAGCCCAAUUUACAUAGGGCAGGACCAGGUGGAGGAAAAAACAUAUAAAAGGAGGAGCCAAAGCGCUUUCUUGGGGACUCUCUUCUGCGUGCGCGUGCUCUUUUCUCUCUCUCUCUCCCUGUCUCUCUCUCUCCCUCCUUCCCUCCCUCCCUCCCCUAUCUUCUAAAUAAAAUAGAGCUGUAACACUGAUUUGCUUAAGAGCUGUAGCACGGUUUGUCCAAGACCCAAGAGCUGUGACGCGCUGAGGGCUUUAAUGUCCGUCACUCCAAAUCUUUGUUGUGACAAGACAAAGAACUGGGGAACAUACCCUCGCGUGACAGAACUAAAACCCCCAACAAAUGGAAAAUGUCAGCAUUCUUCAUUCCAGAUUAAAGGAACCAGAGAAGUUCUUCCAGAAGAUCACUUGGGGCCAGAUUAAAGGAACCACAGAAACUCAUCAGAUUACCUGAGACCAGAUGAAAGGAGUGCAGGUUCUCCACUCAACCUAAUCCUCUCAGCAACCCCACCCUUGAACUGUUGCUGUUAAAGUGAAGUGAAGUUUCUCAGUCAUGUCAGACUCUUUGUGACCCCAUGGAAUGUUGCCUACCACGCUCCUCUGUCCAUCGGAUUUUCCAGGCAAGAAUACUGGAGUGGGUUGCCAUAUCCUUCUACAGAGGAUCUUCCUGACCCAGGGAUCGAACCUGGGUCUCCCACAUUGUAGGCACAGACACUUUAACGUCUGAGCCAUACGGAGGAACCUCCUAUUAAACAGUUUAAUUGCUACUAAACUCCUCAUUAAAUCCUCUCAGGUUGGGACACAGUUUUUCAGAGGCAAAAAGCUGCUGUGUCCCCCUUUGUCUGGCAAAGCAACCUGUGUGCAUGCUAAGCCACUUCAGACUCUUUGUGACCCCAUGGAAGUAACACACUAAGUUCCUCUGUCCAUGGGGAUUCUGUAGGUAAAGAUACCGGAGUGGGUGCCAUUUCCUCCUCCAGGGGAUCUUCCCAACCCAGGGAUCGAACCCAUCUCUUAUGUCUCCUGCAUUGAUAGGCAGGUUCUUUACCACUAGUGCCACCUGGGAAAC
ensembl:lncRNA